rnacentral:rRNA from 1 species
UACGUAGGUGGCAAGCGUUGUUCGGAAUUAUUGGGCGUAAAGGGCGCGUAGGCGGUUUGUUAAGUCGGCUGUGAAAGCCCGGGGCUCAACCCCGGAGGGUCGAGCCGCAUACUGGCAGACUAGAGUACGGAAGAGGUAGCUGGAAUUCCCGGUGUAGCGGUGAAAUGCGUAGAUAUCGGGGAGGAACACCUGAGGCGAAGGCGGCUGCCUGGACCGGCCCUGACGCUGAGGCGCGAAAGCUAGGGGAGCAACAGG